rnacentral:rRNA from 1 species
GAUGAACGCUGGCGGCGUGCCUAAUACAUGCAAGUCGAGCGAACAGAUGAGGAGCUUGCUCCUCUGACGUUAGCGGCGGACGGGUGAGUAACACGUGGAUAACCUACCUAUAAGACUGGGAUAACUUCGGGAAACCGGAGCUAAUACCGGAUAAUAUAUUGAACCGCAUGGUUCAAUAGUGAAAUACGGUUUUGCUGUCACUUAUAGAUGGAUCCGCGCCGCAUUAGCUAGUUGGUAAGGUAACGGCUUACCAAGGCAACGAUGCGUAGCCGACCUGAGAGGGGGAUCGGCCACACUGGAACUGAGACACGGUCCAGACUCCUACGGGAGGCAGCAGUAGGGAAUCUUCCGCAAUGGGCGAAAGCCUGACGGAGCAACGCCGCGUGAGUGAUGAAGGUCUUCGGAUCGUAAAACUCUGUUAUUAGGGAAGAACAAAUGUGUAAGUAACUAUGCACGUCUUGACGGUACCUAAUCAGAAAGCCACGGCUAACUACGUG